GACGAACGCUGGCGGCGUGCUUAACACAUGCAAGUCGAACGGAAAGGCCCUGCUCUUGUGGGGUGCUCGAGUGGCGAACGGGUGAGUAACACGUGAGUAACCUGCCCUUGACUUUGGGAUAACUCCAGGAAACUGGGGCUAAUACCGGAUAGGAGCUCCUGCUGCAUGGUGGGGGUUGGAAAGUUUCGGCGGUUGGGGAUGGACUCGCGGCUUAUCAGCUUGUUGGUGGGGUAGUGGCUUACCAAGGCUUUGACGGGUAGCCGGCCUGAGAGGGUGACCGGCCACAUUGGGACUGAGAGACGGCCCAGACUCCUACGGGAGGCAGCAGUGGGAAGUAUUGCGCAAUGGGCGGAAGCCUGAUGCGGCAACGCCGCGUGCGGGAUGACGGCCUUCGGGUUGUAAACCGCUUUCGCCUGUGACGAAGCGUGAGUGACGGUAAUGGGUAAAGAAGCACCGGCUAACUACGUG
rnacentral:rRNA from 1 species